rnacentral:lncRNA from 1 species
GUCUUUCAUAAAGCGUGCGUUUUUUUUAAGGUUUUGGUUGUGUGUUUUUUGUCAGCCUUUCUUGUGUCACUUUGAUGCAAGUUUAGGACUGUGUUUUGGUUGUUAAUUGUAAGCUACUCCUAAGCUUUGAAGCACGGAGUUAGCGUGUGUGAUUCACUCAAAAGCUUUUAAGCAAGAGUGUGGUCUAGUUUUUUAGGAGAGUGUCUCUAUCCUGAUUAUUAUUAUUGACAGCAACAUGGUAUGUGUUGUUAGAGGGAAUUUGGGACGGGGUCUCAUUAUCUAAGAGGUUCUUAGGUAGGAUUGCACGGGUAGUGUCUAGGUGAUAAGUCAAGUACCGGGUGUUGGUCGAGGGCUUUGAACUAGAGCUAUUAUAGUGGAUUCAUUA